UAAGAGCUCUGUGAUUCAUGGGAUCAGCAACCCGUCAUUGGGGGCUGUCAGGUUGGCAACUCAGAGGACACACACAUGCACACAAGGAAUUCAUAGGAUAGAUCAAGGGGGAGGCAGGAAAGCGUGGAAAAGAAAGGAAGAAACCAGCACAGAUGGGGGCUGUACUGAAGAUCCCCAUCUUCAGUUAUUGCCAUCACUAGCUACCUCUGAGCAAUUCCUGUGGUUGCCCCAAAUGCAGUUUUUCACUUUGGUUUUACGCUUUCCCUCUCCCUCUGCAGGGCUGUGCAUCCAGUGUGUUUCUGUGGAGCUUCAUUACAGGUUACAUUCAGGCGCAUAUGUCAUCCCUCCGUUGCCCAGAGACCGUGCCAGAUACCACCAGCUCCAACAAAGGGAAGGACAGCCACUGGACUACCGUGAACUACCCCACAGCAGCAGCAGAAUUGGAUCCGUGGAUACACUCAUUCCGGGACCUUGAGAGCUUGAAGCCAGCUGGGGCUGGGCAGAGACUACAGCCUUCUCCUGCUUCCGCACUUGGAAUCCCGACCUGCCACCCCGGAGCUGCUGAAGUAUGCUCUCCACACCUCUGAGCUCCCCACUGCCAGAAGCCUCUUUGGAUUUCCAGUGUGCCUGGAAGGAAGGAACUCUCUGCUCUCUUCUCACCAGAAGUUGGUGCUCAUGCUACAACGGUGCCAAGCCGGGGAUGCAACGAGAGAGAAGCAGGCUUGAGACAAGCCAACUCAGUCCACUUGUGACUUUCUGUAGCAGACUCCUUUUCCCCAGGGCGGUAAGACAAAUGGUUUAAUAACCCAGAAUGCUGUGCUCUUUGCUUCAGCAAAGUUGACUCUCUGCAUUCAACCUUAUUCACAGGUAUCUCCAACAACCUCCUGGGAAAAUGCUGAACAAACGGAGAUCACGGCUUGGAGGCCCAGGGCUGGCCUUGCAUUGUUUGCUUUUUAUUGUGAGGCUUAUCUUGCUGUGUCAUAUGGUUAAAAACUGGAGCCUUGGCUCCAAGAUAGCGGUGAGAAGGCAAGAAAAGCUCGUGCGCAUUUGUCUUCAGGUCAGUUUUAUAAAUGAAUGUACUGAUGCCGCCCUCAACAAAAAUGCAAGGGAGAAACUAUGAGCAAGAGAGAACAAGUCCUAACUUCUUUUCUGUCGUGUGUUUUUCUGGAAAUGAAAAAAUUUGAACACUGCUCGCAAGCUCUCUCACCAGAGAACUGGCUGCACUCCAACAACCGUGUGAAGUGCUGGACUUCCACUCCGGGACGGCGAGCACGGCCGUAGCUAGCCUAGCUGGAGGUACAUUCGGAAAACGAAACCAGGUUUUAUACUCAGUUCCCAUCUGUCCCAGGAUCUUGGGAUGUCCUAGUAGUGUCAGGGACAGAAAGCCAAGCCUGUUAGAGAUAUCGAAAUAGAAUCAGGUGACGAAGGAUGAGAAGCUCAGAAGGCUCCACAGGGUGCAAUGUCCAAGUGGGGUGGCAAAGGAGAGGGAAGAGGUUUUUGAAAGCAAGCUGGACUCUAAGUGCUUACCCACCACUUAGUAGGAAGAAACACGAAAAGAAUUCCUGCUGUUUCCCAGGAGAAUUCACUGAGGCCACAGCUUGAACCUGAGCUGACUCACCGAUGGGCAGCAAUUACUUCAGACCUGUUUCGGACAAGACAGAAGGUCCAUCCUGCAGCUCCACUCACAGGAUCACAGAGCAGCGGUGGUGUGGUGUUCAUCGCAGUGCUUUAUUGUGAAGCGUGGUAAUAUCUGGGUCUUCUUCAGCAACAUGAAGAUUACUUUUACUCAGUUUUAGCCAUGUAAAAGUGUAGAUGUCUAAGCCAGUGAUCUAACCCUUCUCUACAGGCUGUGAAGAGAACGGGAGACAUCUCCAGAGAGUGAGUCACUUCUUCCUAUGUACAGUGUCUAAAGUGGGUGGGAUGAUUCAUCCUCCAAAGGUAACAGUCUCUCUUUCUAUGGCUUACAUGACUAGUUUCAACUGAAAGCCUAACUUUUUGGUGUCAGAAAUUAGCCAUCUUCACUGUUACCCACAUUUGUCUCAAGUUAUUUUCAAAAUGCAGAGCGAGGUGAGAAGGCUUACUUCUCAGUAGAUGGCCCCUUCACAGGAGCGUUUUGUGCUUUCUCCUGGGAUCUGCACAUCUUGGUCCUUCGGAAAUGGCACUGAAAUGGUUUGCUCAAGUUUCAUGGAGUCAGAGAAAAUAAAGUCUGUUGGAAACAUAAAGAGAAGCCACUUGACCCAUCCCAAAUCCACAGGCAGAAGGCUGCGGUUACGUUUUGUUUUCCUUAAUGUUUCCUCCUUUCAACAAUAUCUUCCAAGUCAGUAAGAAAAUUUCAGUUGUCUUCAAUGGGCUUUCAUCCAAGCCUGCAGAGAGAGCAAUAGAGAAAAUUCAGUUGCAGAGGCAAAUCGAAAGAGGGGAAAGGUAAUGACACGAGAGAGCUAAAAGACGUAAUCGUGAGAGGGGGGAGAGAGGGAAACAAAGAGAGGUGCUUUAAAGAUUGAGAACUGCAGGAACACAGAGACAUCGCUCGGUGGAGAGGAGAUCUGGGCAAGGGGAGAGGGACAAACUCAUACCCUUGAAAUACGCAUCUCUCCAACACUGCGGCAUCACUUCCAUUUGAAAAUGCCUAACUGCUCUUCAGUUUAAUCAUUGCUGCACUUCUGGGUAUAAGACGAAUAAUUAAGCCUGGGAGUAGAAUACAGCAAGUGUUAAUAGGGCAGAAGGUACUGCAAAGUCCUUAUGAAAAGCUGCGCUUGCAGCACAAAGUGGCUGCUGUUCUCUGCAUCCCCAAUCACAAAGUGAGGAGCUUGAAAGUACUAAAUUAAAUGAAGUGCGUCUGUAUCCAUUCCGCUGGACUUUUUUUCCCCUGCGUUUGAUAACUGUUGCUUGCUAAAUAAUACCCCAUCUCUAGCGAAGGAGGAAAAAUAUAAUUCUAAAUCUCCCUUCCAAAUCAAACCAAGGACGGACAUCCUGCACGGCCUUCCGAGCCUACCCCUGCGGACUCCCACAAGCUUAGUCUUCUCCCUUACAUAAGUCAAUAUUUAAAGAAAAUGUCUGGUGCCUUAGAGACGAUUCAGUCUGAAGCGGCACUGUUGUGGAGCUCGUCCUCUUUGAUGAGUUCAAGAUUGCUUCCUGUUGCUUUCAGACAAAAAAAAAAUGAAGAAAUAAAUACCCACUUCAGACCACGAGAGGCAACAAUUAAACAAUGUCUGAGACAACACUGGGCCAGCUACGCUGCCCAGACACCUUGAAGUGCUGGAGUUUGCACAUAGCUAGCUAUGCGAGAGAAGACGCAGCAAGGAAAUGCUGGAACUGGAACAAGAUGCAGCCGUUUAUCCACGUACGACGCCAGUUACUGCAGUUUGCUGCUCUGUCUGCUGUUUCCCCCUCAAUCUUAAGUGUCUCUCCUCCCCAGAGCACACUUCUUCCUCCGACUGUGGACCACCAGGACAAAACAGAAGCGGCUCAAAAGGGAGCAGUUCGCAUUUGAAGCAUCCGAAACCUGUUUGUGGACGGCGUGCAAGGAGCGGUGUUCAUUCCUGCGGGAGAUCAGACUGGGCGUCACGCUAAACAGCGAAUGCAGAGCUCCUCUUUCAGGGCUUCGUUUUCCGCGUGCACCCAAUUAAACAGAGCCGUAUAAACUAAUCAAAUUAGGCUGGGGAGGAAGAAAGACAGAUUGUUAUUUUUAAAUACUUGGGAGACCUUUGGGAAUGGGAGGUCAUAAAGGUAAAGAGGGAGGUCAAUAAAUAGAAAGGAGGAAAUUAUUUUUAACCAUUGCAGAUAAGGUAUUUUUAGAGCAAUCACCUGAAGGCUCCCUGAACUACACAGAAUGAUAAGCACCGCUCACCACGGCAGCAGUAAUGGGAGCUGAGCUGCAGCCUGGCUCAGACCCACGUUCCCUUGCUUCUUUCAAGUGAGUUUUCAAUGUAAUGAUUAUUUUUUUUUUCCUUUUUCUCCCACCUCCUGUCUUUACUGCCAUCACUGAGGGUACCUCAGAGAGUCUGGCUCUCCUAUGGACAUUUGAGGAGGUUUUCAGUUGCUGCUAAGUGGGUAUUUUUCCCCCUCUGUGGUUUGUUUUUCAUCCUUUUCUUUCGCCUGCCCUCCUCUCACCUCCGCGCUCCGUGGAAGAGAUGAAGAGCCGAGCCUCCACAGGCAAGCCGGUGUGAAGAGAAACCAGAGGUUGACUUCCAAAAGGGCUGGGGGACCUGGGGGCCGGGGGGAGACAUCUCUGGCUCAAACACCGUCGAGGGAUGCCACAGGCAGGG